rnacentral:tRNA from 1 species
GGUAGUUUAGCUUAAUCGGUCAAAGCAUGGUGACGUGUAAUCACUAGGAUGUGAGUUCGAAUCCGCAGCUAGCC